UUUACCAAAACGAGCUGUGGAGGCUAGGAAAGACACUGACGUCAAUGUAAAAGUAAACCAAAGAGGUCUGGUUCCUGUAUCAUCCCCGCGCCGGGCUGAGGGCUGGGGAGCCAGCGAGCAGGAGCACGGUCACCCGGUGGAGGAAUCUGGGAGAGAGCUCAGGGAUCGGCAGCUGAGGUUUCUCAUCCAGGCUGUGAACAGAUGUCUCUUUCCUGGGGCGAUAGCAUUCAGGUCCACGAGGAAAUUUUCUUACCGGCAGCUCCUCUAACAUAGAAGGGAGAUCGGGCCAGAGGUAAGUCCAUCCGUCGUGGAGGAAUACGCUGCAGGGAUCACUGCGGUGAAUGCUUUGGGAUAUCAGUCAGAGAGAAAGAGGUGUGGGGAGGACAUGGG
rnacentral:lncRNA from 1 species